rnacentral:rRNA from 1 species
UACGUAGGGACCGAGCGUUGUCCGGAUUCAUUGGGCGUAAAGAGCUCGUAGGCGGCUGCUCAAGUCGAAUGUGAAAACUCGAGGCUCAACCUCGAGCCUGCAUUCGAUACUGGGCGGCUAGAGUCUGGUAGGGGGAUCUGGAAUUCCUGGUGUAGCGGUGAAAUGCGCAGAUAUCAGGAGGAACACCGGUGGCGAAGGCGGGUCUCUGGGCCGAUACUGACGCUGAGGAGCGAAAGCGUGGGGGAGCAAACAGG